rnacentral:rRNA from 1 species
CGGGGUGCAGCAGGCGCGAAAACUCUACAAUGCAGGCAACUGCGAUAGGGGGACAUCGAGUGGCAUCCACCUUGGGUGCCUGUCCAACCGUCUAAAAAGCGGUUGUUAGCAAGGGCCGGGUAAGACCGGUGCCAGCCGCCGCGGUAAUACCGGCGGCUCGAGUGGUGGCCGAUAUUAUUGAGUCUAAAGGGUCCGUAGCCGGCUUUGCAAGUCCCCUGGGAAAUCCAGCGGCUUAACCGUUGGGCUUUCAUGGGAUACUACAUUGCUUGGGACUGGGAGAGGUAGGAGGUACUCGGGGGGUAGGGGUGAAAUCCUGUAAUCCUCCGGGGACCACCGGUGGCGAAGGCGUCCUACCAGAACAGGUCCGACGGUGAGGGACGAAAGCUAGGGGCACGAACCGGAUUAGAUACCCGGGUAGUCCUAGCCGUAAACGAUGCCCGCUAGGUGUCACGACGGUCGUGAAUCGUCGUGGUGCCGUAGGGAAGCCGCGAAGCGGGCCACUUGGGAAGUACGGCCGCAAGGCUGAAACUUAAAGGAAUUGGCGGGGGAGCAC